AAAUGAAUAGACGGGGACCCGCACAAGCAGUGGAACAUGUGGUUUAAUUCGACGGUAAACGGGGAACCUUACCUGGGCUCAACUACUAGCUGCAAGUCUGCAGAAACGCAGACCGCCUUCGAGGGUGCUAGAUAGGUGCUGCAUGGUUGCCGUCAGCUCGUGCCGUGAGGUGUACCAUUAAGUUGGGAAACGAGCGCAACCCUCGCCGUGUGUUAAAUGUACACGCGGGACCGCCCGGCCCUAAAUUCAGAACUAGUUUCUGAGUUAAGGGCCGGGAGGAAGGGGAGGACGACGUCAAAUCAGCAUGGCUCUUACGUCCAGGGCUACACACAUGUUACAAUGGUAGGUACAAUGGGUUGCCAAGCCGCGAGGCGGAGCUAAUCCCAUCAAAACUUACCUCAGUUCAGAUUGCAGGCUGCAACUCGCCUGCAUGAAGCCGGAAUUGCUAGUAAACGCCUAUCAGCCACGGGGCGUUGAAUACGUUCUCGGGUCUUGUACACACCGCCCGU
rnacentral:rRNA from 1 species